rnacentral:lncRNA from 1 species
GACGUCACAAGGUAGCGCGUAACGGGGCCCGCUGGGGCAGACAACGCCGGGGUUACAGGCCGGCUCUGCGGGGAUUCUACGGAGGGUCGGGCCUCCUCCAGUAAGAAGCGUGGGCGAGUAGUGGUGUCGCCAGUGGCAACUGAAGGGAGUAAUGGAGAUAAAACAAAAGCGAAGGCGAAGUUAAAGCACUCCACGAGUUCCCUCGGAUUAAACGCCGGAGAGAGCGUGAAUUUGCCUCGGGGACGCCUCUCCAGGAAUGUCGGAUUGCACAUCCUAUUGUAAAAUGUACUUACUGCAGAUCAGAAUUUCAACAAGAGAGCAAAACUAACACAAUUUGUAAGAAGUGUGCUCAAAAUGUGAAGCAAUUUGGGACGCCCAAGCCUUGUCAGUACUGUAACAUAAUUGCAGCAUUUAUUGGUACCAAGUGUCAGCGUUGCACAAAUUCAGAAAAAAAGUAUGGACCACCUCAGACCUGUGAACAGUGCAAACAGCAAUGUGCUUUUGAUCGGAAGGAGGAAGGAAGAAGAAAGGUUGAUGGAAAGUUAUUAUGCUGGCUCUGUACUUUAUCGUACAAAAGAGUUUUACAGAAGACGAAAGAACAAAGGAAGAGCCUGGGAUCUUCACAUUCAAAUUCAUCUUCUUCAUCUCUUACUGAGAAAGACCAGCAUCAUCCAAAACAUCAUCACCACCAUCAUCACCAUCACCAUCGUCACAGCAGUAGCCAUCACAAAAUCAGCAAUCUAAGUCCAGAAGAAGAGCAGGGACUGUGGAAACAGAGCCAUAAAUCCUCUGCAACAAUUCAGAAUGAAACUCCAAAGAAAAAGCCCAAAUUGGAAUCUAAGCCAUCUAAUGGAGAUAGGUGUAUGUAAUGUGUGCCAUUAGUAAGGUAAUUUGCCAGUUGCAUCCAUUUCUGUCAGUAGCUCUAUAAAUCAGUCAGCAGAUAGUGGGGGAACAGACAAUUUUGUCCUUAUAAGUCAAUUGAAAGAAGAAGUGAUGUCACUUAAGCGUCUCUUACAGCAGAGAGACCAGACCAUUUUAG